UCGAUCUGUUGCGGGCAGAUGAAAUGGAUGUGGGUAUCGAUCCCGCCCGCGGUGAGAAUCAUGCCUUCCCCGGCGAUCACUUCGGUACUGGCGCCCAAGGCGAUGGUAACCCCCGGCUGGAUAUCCGGGUUGCCGGCCUUGCCGAUAGCGGCAAUGCGGCCGUUCUUCAGCGCAACGUCCGCCUUGACGAUGCCCCAGUGGUCCAGCACCAGGGCAUUGGUGAUCACCGUGUCAGCCACCUCGGCUGCCAGAAGCUGCCCCUGGCCCAUGCCAUCGCG
rnacentral:sRNA from 1 species